GGGGGGGGGGGAUUCUAGCGCGCUCCCUGUCAAGGAUGACUCCAUUUUCAAAGUUCUAAUUCGAGAUUUCUGAUAAAAAGUGAAUGAGCUUUUAUCACCCCCACCACAAUCAAGGUUUGAAGAAUUCUCAUAAACUCAGUUUCUCUAAAGAAUUGAUUCUUGUUGAAUAAAGAUGAAAACAGGUUGCAGAGGUCUUAAUAUUCACUUAUAUUGGAACUCCAUUUUUGUAUACAUAAAUAAACACUCCAACUUCGAGAGUGUACACGUAACACCUCAACUUGAUCUCAACUUGUAACUAAACACUUCCCAUCACGUGUCUCGUGGACAUCGAUGCUGGUGUGACACAUAAAUCUUGCAGCAAUAAACAUGUUUAAUUCAACUUGUUGUACACAAUGUAAAUUGCUAGAGUUUACAAAGAAACUAGCAAGUUCAAAAAGGAGAUUAUAGUAAAGGAUCCAAUUUUAUUGCCAUCUUCCCCAACAAACACACUUCUCAAACCCCACCUCAGAAGAGAGGACUGCAGGUGGAAGAUUACCUAUUCCAACAGAACAAAAAGUUCCACAUUUUCUUCUCAAACAAGAAAAGGGUGUCAAAAAUUUGAAGAAAAAGAGGGGAAGAUCAAAAGAAAAA